GGACUCAACGCCGGCAGCUCACCGGAUAAGACAGCUGGAUGAUAGCCGGGCUGAAGACUCUGCUUGACUAGCUGAGAGGAGGUGCAUGGCCGUCGUCAGUUCGUACUGUGAAGCAUCCUGUUAAGUCAGGCAACGAGCGAGACCCACGCCAACAGUUGCCAGCAUGUCCUCCGGGAUGAUGGGGACACUGUUGGGACCGCCUCUGCUAAAGAGGAGGAAGGAAUGGGCAACGGUAGGUCAGCAUGCCCCGAAUUAUCCGGGCUACACGCGGGCUACAAUGGUCAGGACAAUGGGUAUCGACACCGAGAGGUGGAGGCAAUCUCCUAAACCUGUCCUUAGUUCGGAUUGUGGGCUGCAACUCGCCCACAUGAAGCUGGAAUCCGUAGUAAUCGCGUUUCAAAAUAGCGCGGUGAAUAUGUCCCUGCUCCUU
rnacentral:rRNA from 1 species